UCGAGACAAUUAAUCCUAAGCAAUUAACCAAGUUGUCCGGCAUGUCAUUGGUCCCUCGACGCUUCGUCCGAUUCUUCGGCGCAUCGUCCUUUCCUGCAGCCUAUUGUCCAAUCGGCCAGUUGACUCCGCAACUCCGAUAUCCUUGGCACAAUACCCGCUCUUCUUGGCCCGAUGCCCGAGUCCACGACCCGAAGCCUUCUGUCGAUACGUCAACCGAUCCACCGGCCCGACGUCCAAUCUUCUGACA
rnacentral:lncRNA from 1 species